AAAAUUCUUGUCUUAGAUUUGUCUAAAUAUGAAUGUAUCUAGUCAUGUUAUAGUAUUUAGAUACAUUCAUUUUUAGACAAACCUAAGACAAGAAUUUU
rnacentral:miRNA from 1 species